rnacentral:rRNA from 1 species
CGGCGGACGGGUGAGUAACACGUAGGCAACCUGCCUGUAAGACUGGGAUAACUAUCGGAAACGAUAGCUAAGACCGGAUAACUGGUUCUCUCGCAUGAGAGAAUCAUGAAACACGGGGCAACCUGUGGCUUAUAGAUGGGCCUGCGGCGCAUUAGCUAGUUGGUGAGGUAACGGCUCACCAAGGCGACGAUGCGUAGCCGACCUGAGAGGGUGAACGGCCACACUGGGACUGAGACACGGCCCAGACUCCUACGGGAGGCAGCAGUAGGGAAUCUUCCGCAAUGGACGCAAGUCUGACGGAGCAACGCCGCGUGAGUGAUGAAGGUUUUCGGAUCGUAAAGCUCUGUUGCCCUAGACGAACAGCAAGGAGAGUAACUGCUCUUUGUGUGACGGUAUAGGAGAAGAAAGCCCCGGCUAACUACGUGCCAGCAGCCGCGGUAAUACGUAGGGGGCAAGCGUUGUCCGGAAUUAUUGGGCGUAAAGCGCGCGCAGGCGGUUAAUUAAGUCUGGUGUUUAAGCCCGGGGCUCAACCCCGGUUCGCAUCGGAAACUGGUUGACUUGAGUGUAGGAGAGGAAAGUGGAAUUCCACGUGUAGCGGUGAAAUGCGUAGAGAUGUGGAGGAACACCAGUGGCGAAGGCGACUUUCUGGCCUAUAACUGACGCUGAGGCGCGAAAGCGUGGGGAGCAAACAGGAUUAGAUACCCUGGUAGUCCACGCCGUAAACGAUGAG